rnacentral:rRNA from 1 species
AUGGCCGCCCGAAAGGGCCACUGGACACCGCUAAAUGUUCUUAUGGGCAAUAGCGGUGCCGGCGCCACUCCGCCGGCGGUUCAUGCUGUCCCGCCCGGAGGCCUCAUCAACAUCGUCAUCGAUGACGAGCAGGCCGACGUCGUUGAUAAUUCUGCAACGACGAUCACCUUGGACGUGGAGCUGAACAACGUCCUCCAUGUCGUGGCGUCCAGUGGAGACGGUGACGAGUUCCUGGAGAGCGCGAGGGGCAUCUACUGCAAGGCCAAGCACCUCCUGGACGCACGCAACAAGAAGGGCGACACGCCCUUCCAUUGCGCUGCCAGAGCUGGGAUGCUGAAAAUGGUCACUCAUCUCAUCUGUCUGGCGAAAGCUGAGGGCGGCGACGACAGGGUGAAGGCAGCACUGAGGAAGCAGAACGAGCAGGGGGAGACGGCUCUCCAUGCGGCCCUCCGCUUGUCGGACAAGGAGACGGUUCGGGCAAUGGUCCACGAGUUAUGGGUCGCGGAUCCAGAACUGACUCGUUUCCCUCUUGCAAGCGGCACGUCGCCACUGUACCUGGCCGUCUCGUUAGGGCGUGAGGAUAUUGCCGAGGGACUGCAUGAGCAGGACCCGGGGCUCUCCUACUCUGGACCAAAUGGACAAAACGUCUUGCAUGUUGCCGUUCUCAGGAGCACAAGUAUGACAAAAAAUGUUCUGAAAUGGAACAAUCACCUCAGCAAACAAGGGGAACAAACAAAUGGGAGCACACCUCUACAUUUUGCAGCCUCAUGUGGGUUUCUUGAAACAGUAAAGUGUCUACUAGACGCUGAGGAAUCUCUUGCAUAUCAGUGCGACAACAAGGGGUCAUUCCCCAUACAUGAGGCGGUUAAGGAAAAGCAAGUCAGUGUAGUUUGCACCUUGCUCAAAAUUUGCCCGGACUGCGCCCAGCUACGUGAUGCCGAGGGCAAGACCUUCCUCCAUGUAGCUGCCAAACAAGGCUACGCAAAACUAUUUCCUCCUGUUUUACAGGUUUUAUUACAAGAAAAGCAGAUGUUUGCAGCCAUUAUGAAUGUGCAGGAUGAUGAUGGCAACACUGGGUUGCAGCUUGCUGUCGAGGCCGGAAUUUUAGAAACUGUGUGCUUUUUACUGUGGGACAAGGAAGUUAUGUUAAAUUUAUCAAAUAACGAGAGGGAAACUGCACUGGAUCUUUCACAGCGCAUGCGGACCCCAGGUGUCCUUUUUGGUUUGGGCCGACGGGUUUCGAUCCACAAACUUUUAGUGCAUGCUGAUGCUCAGUACGGUGUUCAUAGUAAAACCCGCAUCCCUGAACUAAAUGAGGAGAAGGAAGAAAAAAGGAUCUCGGAUUCGACACAGACCAUUGGCGUUGUGUCAGCGCUACUCGUGACGAUUUCCUUUGCGGUAGCUUUCACCAUACCCGGAGGCUAUCGAACAGAUGAUGACCCUAAGGUCGAUAAUAUUAAGGGCGGCAUGCCGGUGCUUGUCACAAGCCACUCUCUUCAGGCAUUCAUUAUCGCCAACAACCUGGCGUUGCUCUGCUCCGCCAUGACCACCAUCCGCCUCAUGUACGCCGGAGUGACCACUGUCGACAUCAGCAUGCGCAUGAAAGCCUUCGUCAUGUCCAUUUUCUUCCUCAACAGCUCAGCCCGAACGCUGGCUGCGGCGUUUGCGUUGGGCAUGUACGCGACGCUGGUUCCUGCGGCUGGCGCAGCAGUUACUCUUACGGUUAUAGGCACCACUAUCACGCUGCUUGACGUUGCUUGGUUCACGUACAUGACAUCCAAGGAUCAGCUAGUGCUUCGGAAGAGGAUGGGUGUUGGCGUGGCCUUGAAAUGGUUUGCGCUUUUGGUCCUACGUGGGGUGCUCGCGUGUCUCUGGCCGUACGUCAUAAUCGCCGGUUUCUUAGCCUAUAUUACAUUAUGGAGUAAGUGA